GCUCUAUUGGCGCAAUUGGUUAGCGCGCGGUACUUAUAAUGCCGAGGUUGUGAGUUCGAGCCUCACAUAGAGCA